rnacentral:rRNA from 1 species
UAAACUAGGAUUAGAUACCCUAUUAUUAUAAAUGUUGAAUUUAAAUACUAAAUUAUUAAUAGUUAUGUUCUUUAAAAUUAAAAAAUUUGGCGGUAUUUUAGUCUUUUCAGAGGAAUCUGUCCUGUAAUUGAUAGUCCACGAUUGGAUGUACUUUAUUUAUUAGUUUACAUAUCGUCGUAGUUUGAAUAUUUUAAUAGAAAUUUAAUAUUCAAGAUUUUGGAAUGUAAAAAUAAAUCAGAUCAAGGUGUAGUAUAUAAUAAAGAAGAGAUGGAUUACAAUAAAUUUAUUUAUGGAUAAAUUAUUUUAAAUAAUUUUGAAUUUGGAUUUGAAAGUAAUUUUAUAUUCUUAUUUAAAAUGAUUAUAGCUCUAAAAUAUGCACACAUCGCCCGUCGCUCUUAA